AGAGUUUGAUCCUGGCUCAGGACGAACGCUGGCGGCGUGCUUAACACAUGCAAGUCGAACGAUGAUGCUCCAGCUUGCUGGGGUGGAUUAGUGGCGAACGGGUGAGUAACACGUGGGUGAUCUGCCCUGCACUUCGGGAUAAGCCUGGGAAACUGGGUCUAAUACCGGAUAUGACCCUCCUUUAGUGUGGGGGGUGGAAAGCUUUAGCGGUGUGGGAUGAGCCUGCGGCCUAUCAGCUUGUUGGUGGGGUAAUGGCCUACCAAGGCGUCGACGGGUAGCCGGCCUGAGAGGGUGAUCGGCCACAUUGGGACUGAGACACGGCCCAGACUCCUACGGGAGGCAGCAGUGGGGAAUAUUGCACAAUGGGCGAAAGCCUGAUGCAGCGACGCCGCGUGGGGGAUGAAGGCCUUCGGGUUGUAAACUCCUUUCGCUAGGGACGAAGAUGUAUUUUGACGGUACCUGGAGAAGAAGCACCGGCUAACUACGUGCCAGCAGCCGCGGUAAUACGUAGGGUGCGAGCGUUGUCCGGAAUUACUGGGCGUAAAGAGCUCGUAGGUGGUUUGUCACGUCGUCUGUGAAAUCCCGGGGCUUAACUUCGGGCGUGCAGGCGAUACGGGCAUAACUUGAGUGCUGUAGGGGAGACUGGAAUUCCUGGUGUAGCGGUGAAAUGCGCAGAUAUCAGGAGGAACACCAAUGGCGAAGGCAGGUCUCUGGGCAGUAACUGACGCUGAGGAGCGAAAGCAUGGGUAGCGAACAGGAUUAGAUACCCUGGUAGUCC
rnacentral:rRNA from 1 species